rnacentral:rRNA from 1 species
CCCUUUGAUACUCUGGGCGGCACGCGCGCUACAAUGGAUAACUUAACGUGUUACAUGUCCGAAAGGAUGUAUGCAAAUCACAAAUGUUAUGUCUCGAGUGGGGUAGUUUACUGCAAUUAUAGACUUGAACUAGGAAUCCCUUGUAGGUACACUGAAGCAUAGUGUACCGAAUACGUCCCUGCCGUUUGUACACACCGCCCGUCGUUUCUUCCGACUGAUACUCAUUGUGAAUUGCGGGGAUAACGUUGUUGAAAACCGUUGUAAAUGCUGGGUAUUGGAGGAAGAAAAAGUCGUAACA